rnacentral:rRNA from 1 species
CAAUAGCGUAUAUUAAAGUUGUUGCAGUUAAAAAGCUCGUAGUUGGAUUUCUGGGAGGGUGCCAAUGUCCGCCAACGUGCGUGCGCAGCGGCGCCCUUCCAUCCUUCUGUUAACGCUUCUCGGCAUUAACUUGCCGGUGGCGGGCUCAGAUAUUUUACCUUGAGAAAAUUAGAGUGUUUCAGGCAGGCUAGGCCGGAAUACAUUAGCAUGGAAUAAUGGAACAGGACUGGUGGUCUCUUUGUUGGUUUGAGGGACUGCAGUAAUGAUUAAUAGGGAUAGUUGGGGGCAUUAGUAUUUAAUUGUCAGAGGUGGAAUUCUCAGAUUUGUUAAAGACUAACUUAUGCGAAAGCAUUUGCCAAGGAUGUUUUCAUUAAUCAAGAACGAAAGUUAGAGGUUCGAAGAUGAUCAGAUACCAU